rnacentral:siRNA from 1 species
UGGAACAUACAUCAUUGUUGGCA